ensembl:snoRNA SNORD58 Small nucleolar RNA SNORD58
UUGCCAUGAUGACAGUCUUAGGACACCUUUGGAAUAACCAUGAAAAAAACCUGUAUUCUGAGCAAC